GAGGAAUCUUCCACAAUGGGCGAAAGCCUGAUGGAGCGACACCGCGUGAAGGAUGAAGCCUUUGUUGGUGUAAACUUCUUUUCUCUGGGAAGAUAAUGACGGUACCAGAGGAAUAAGGGGCGGCAAACUUCGUGCCAGCAGCCGCGGUAAUACGAAGGCCCCAAGCGUUAUCCGGAAUUAUUGGGCGUAAAGCGUCCGUAGGUGGUUGUUCAAGGCUGCUGUUAAAGCGUGCGGCUUAACCGCAUAUC
rnacentral:rRNA from 1 species